UUUUGCAUAUCAAAAGCGGAGGAAAAGAAACCAACAGGGAUUGCCCUAGUAACGGCGAGUGAAGCGGCAACAGCUCAAAUUUGAAAUCUGGCCUCUUUUGGGGUCCGAGUUGUAAUUUGCAGAGGGCGCUUUGGAGUCGGCAGCGGUCCAAGUUCCUUGGAACAGGACGUCACAGAGGGUGAGAAUCCCGUACGUGGUCGCUAGCCUUCUCCGUGUAAAGCCCCUUCGACGAGUCGAGUUGUUUGGGAAUGCAGCUCUAAAUGGGAGGUAAAUUUCUUCUAAAGCUAAAUAUUGGCCAGAGACCGAUAGCGCACAAGUAGAGUGAUCGAAAGAUGAAAAGCACUUUGGAAAGAGAGUCAAAAAGCACGUGAAAUUGUUGAAAGGGAAGCGCUUGCAGCCAGACUUGCCUGUAGUUGCUCAUCCGGGCUUUUGCCCGGUGCACUCUUCUAUAGGCAGGCCAGCAUCAGUUUGGGCGGUUGGAUAAAGGUCUCUGUCAUGUACCUCUCUUCGGGGAGAACUUAUAGGGGAGACGCCAUGCAACCAGCUCAGACUGAGGUCCGCGCAUUCGCUAGGAUGCUGGCGUAAUGGCUGUAAGCGGCCCGUCUUGAAACACGGACCCAAAAAA
rnacentral:rRNA from 1 species